GUGGGGAAUUUUGGACAAUGGGCGCAAGCCUGAUCCAGCAAUGCCGCGUGCAGGAAGAAGGCCUUCGGGUUGUAAACUGCUUUUGUACGGAACGAAACGGUCCUGGUUAAUACCUGGGGCUAAUGACGGUACCGUAAGAAUAAGCACCGGCUAACUACGUGCCAGCAGCCGCGGUAAUACGUAGGGUGCGAGCGUUAAUCGGAAUUACUGGGCGUAAAGCGUGCGCAGGCGGUGCUGUAAGACAGGCGUGAACUCCCCGGGCUCAACCUGGGAAUUGCGCUUGUGACUGCAGUGCUGGAGUACGGCAGAGGGGGAUGGAAUUCCGCGUGUAGCAGUGAAAUGCGUAGAUAUGCGGAGGAACACCGAUGGCGAAGGCAGUCCCCUGGGCCUGUACUGACGCUCAUGCACGAAAGCGUGGGGAGCAAACAGGAUUAGAUACCCCGGUAGUCC
rnacentral:rRNA from 1 species